GUGGGAGUAGCUCAGUUGGCAGAGUGCCUGACUGUGACUCAGGUUGUCGCGGGUUCAAACCCCGUCUCUCACC
rnacentral:tRNA from 2 species